rnacentral:rRNA from 1 species
CGACCGCUGGCGGCGUGCUUAACACAUGCAAGUCGAACGGAAAGGCCCUGCUUUUGUGGGGUGCUCGAGUGGCGAACGGGUGAGUAACACGUGAGUAACCUGCCCUUGACUUUGGGAUAACUUCAGGAAACUGGGGCUAAUACCGGAUAGGAGCUCCUGCUGCAUGGUGGGGGUUGGAAAGUUUCGGCGGUUGGGGAUGGACUCGCGGCUUAUCAGCUUGUUGGUGGGGUAGUGGCUUACCAAGGCUUUGACGGGUAGCCGGCCUGAGAGGGUGACCGGCCACAUUGGGACUGAGAUACGGCCCAGACUCCUACGGGAGGCAGCAGUGGGGAAUAUUGCACAAUGGGCGGAAGCCUGAUGCAGCAACGCCGCGUGCGGGAUGAAGGCCUUCGGGUUGUAAACCGCUUUCGCCUGUGACGAAGCGUGAGUGACGGUAAUGGGUAAAGAAGCACCGGCUAACUACGUG